rnacentral:rRNA from 1 species
CUUUGCACUGGACUUUGAGCCUGCUUGUGUAGGAUAGGUGGGAGGCUUUGAAGCGUGGACGCCAGUUCGCGUGGAGCCAUCCUUGAAAUACCACCCUGGCAUGCUUGAGGUUCUAACUCUGGUCCGUGAUCCGGAUCGAGGACAGUGUAUGGUGGGCAGUUUGACUGGGGCGGUCUCCUCCUAAAGAGUAACGGAGGAGUACGAAGGUGCGCUCAGACCGGUCGGAAAUCGGUCGUAGAGUAUAAAGGCAAAAGC